UACAGGGGUCUCGAGCGUUAAUCGGAAUCACUGGGCUUAAAGGGUGCGUAGGCGGAUCCGUAAGCGCUUUGUGAAAUCCCCCGGCUCAACCGGGGAACUGCAGGGCGAACUGUGGAUCUUGAGGAAACUAGAGGCCGGUAGAACGAUUGGUGGAGCGGUGGAAUGCGUAGAUAUCAAUCGGAAUGCCAAAAGUGAAGACAGCCGGCUGGGGUUUUCCUGACGCUGAGGCACGAAAGCGUGGGGAGCAAACCGG
rnacentral:rRNA from 1 species